rnacentral:lncRNA from 1 species
UCUCUUCAUUUUCCGGUGAGAGAGUACCACCUCCCUCCAUCACGUUUCCAAGUGAGACCUCCCUCUUCCUCCACAAGAUUCACAGCGACAACAAUACGUCAACGGCUUGAUAACUAAUCAACGACGGCGAUCUCAUGACUACGGGUGGGUUGCUCAACCUUUUGUCUCUUUGCGGCUUAUGAACAAGAAGAUGUAUACACACGUACAAAACUCUUUUCU